rnacentral:rRNA from 1 species
CAAGCUCGUGCGGCGAGUGAGCGGCAAAGCUCAAUUUGAAUCUGGCGUCUUUGGCGUCCGAGUUGUAAUUUGAAGAAGGUAUCUUUGGGCCCGGCUCUUGUCUAUGUUCCUUGGAACAGGACGUCACAGAGGGUGAGAAUCCCGUGCGAUGAGAUGACCCGGGUCUGUGUAAAGUUCCUUCGACGAGUCGAGUUGUUUGGGAAUGCAGCUCUAAGUGGGUGGUAAAUUCCAUCUAAAGCUAAAUAUUGGCGAGAGACCGAUAGCGAACAAGUACAGUGAUGGAAAGAUGAAAAGAACUUUGAAAAGAGAGUGAAAAGUACGUGAAAUUGUUGAAAGGGAAGGGCUUGAGAUCAGACUUGUAUUUUGCAUGCUGCUCUCCUCGGGGGCGGCCGCUGCGGUUACGGGCAGCAUCGGUUGGACCGGAGGAUAUGCGGAGAUGGGCACGCUCCUGUGGGGUUAAGCCCGAGAGUGCACUAAACAGAGGGGUUUUACCAGAGUGCAAGACUA